GAUAAUAUCAUCCAGUUACCUCACAGUCACAAGUCGUACUGCAGUGACUGCAAAUCCUGUGUGUCUCAUUCAACAGGUGUCACAGAACAAAGAAGGAGGUGGGCGCUGGUAGACCUGAGGGGACCAAGGACUCAAAUUGAAGGUUAAAUGCUGUAAGAUGGGAGCAGAGAUUUAUAUGCCUGGCAGACAAAAAGGGAUAAUAUCUGCGGGGGAAAGCUGGAGGCAGUUCUCCCUGGGAGCCAGGUCAGAGUUCCUGCUAAAGUGACUUUGGCCUCUGUAGCUCUGGUGGCCUUGAACUGUACAGCACACUUCCAUACACAACCUCUGUUUAUCCAGAGCAGUCCUGAUUCUUGAUCAAGAAAAAUACCCGGGUUCUUGGGCUUCACCCUUCUCUUCUGCCUUCUCUUCCUCCACCUUUCCAGGGAAGGAAGAGUGUUCCAAGAAGAUGGAACAGCACAUGUGAGGACCAUGAAGAAGGGGAGGCUGGCCUUCUAACAGGUACGACUGUGUGACUAUAACUAUAAAUUGAUAAAAACAUCUCAUAUGAUCCUUCUAAAGAGUAAUUGUUUUGUCUGUCAUUUUAAUCCAGAAGAUCCUAGUUCAUAAGGAGGAAAACCACUUCAUUCAUUUAUUCAGCAUGUGUUAAACAAUUUCCAUGUACCUGAAACUGUGCCGGGUACUGAAAAUUAAGGAGAGAAAAACCUCAUGAACCCCUAGACACUCACAGUCUUGUGAGGAAACAGAUGAGCCCACACGCCAUUACAGUGCAGUGUGGUCGUUUCUGUGCUUGAGGUGUCACCUGCAGGACACAGGAGAGGUAUGGUCAUAUUUGCCUUGGUGAGGCAGGGAGGGGUCUCAGACAAAGUAGCUUCUGAAGGAUGAGGGCAUUCCAGGAAGCAAGAGAGGCAUUGGAGGAGACAGCCAUGAUGUACUCAGGGAAGAGCAAGUCAUGAGUCAUACACAGGGCUGCUGGGAAGAAGAAGGAAAUGUGAAAGGAGGUAAAGUUAGAAAGGUGGGCAGGGGUUAGAUGUUGAAGCAUCUUGGAAAGGACUUUUUAUUUUAUCCAGUAGUCAAUGGGGAGAAUUUUGAAUAAGGAACCGGCAUGAUUGGUGGACUGGAAUAGUUGCUACUAGGUGUAGGAGACCAGUAAGGUGGCAGUUGUCAAUCAAGAGUCCAAGAAGAGAUAAAUGCCCAGGCCCCCUACCAGAGCCAUGAUCAGGACCAGAGAGGAGGCGACAAAGGCGACAGCAGUGGGAUGCUCAAGAGAUACAACUGAUGGGCUUUGAGAGUGACUGGAGCUGGGCAUAGGAGAACAGGAGAGGUGGGGGAAUCUAGAUCGACUCCAAGGCUUAUAACUCAGGAAGCUAGGUGAUAGGAGGCAUCCAGAGAGACGAGGAGAUUCCUUAUUGUUCAGACCACAGCACAGAAUCACCAACAGAGCUGACUUAUGAAUAAGAUGUUGGGGUUCUUGAAUCACCAGAUGUUUUGGAGUUUUAGGAUUUUACAUAGAGAUUUUACAGAGAGAGAUCUGCAAAGACUAAAAAAAAAAAAAAAAAAAAAAAAAAAAAAAAAAGUCUCAAGAGGAAUGAAGUCUUUAUUUCUUAAGUCCCAGCCUCUCAAACACCUCCUCCUAUCUCACUCCCCCCAGUUGUAUAGCUGAAGCCACAAUAGCCCCGGUGCAUUGUGCCAUUACCACGUAUAGCCAAACAACUACAUAACCACCAGAGAGCAAUGAACAUGGUCAUAAAGGCACAGAGUAGUAAUUAUUUUCCCAUCAGCACCAGCCACACUAAUAUCAGCAGAGAACAAUUAACAUUCCUAACCUCACGGUUAGGCUAUAACCUCCACAUGUCUUGCAGGAAUAGAUUGAUGAAUGGCUUAUAAGGCAGCUGUGCAGUGAGACCUCCGCAUCCUGGCCAUGCCUGUGGGAGAUCAGCCGUGCCAGCAGGGAGCUGGGGGUCCAGAUGACUGAUGUGCAUCCGGCUUUGCAAGCAUUUUACAGAGAUUAGUUUUCACAGCGGCACAGGGGAAGGCUGCCCCAAGCCGGCAACAAGCGCUGUUGGCAGAGUGCGAGGGGUUACAGGGGACUUUUGCUGAGACUCAGAGUCUAGACUCUUUCUUGGACGCAAUCGGGAAUAGCUGUGUGAUGUGUAAACAGCAAGCAUCCAAUAAAUCUUUGAUCAUAGGUUGGCUGACUCUUGACCCUUGAAUUAUUUACACUCUUGGUGGAGAAAGUGCGGAGAGGUGCAGGUUCAGAGCAGAGCUCUUUUCAAGGCCACCUAGAGAGUACUUUCAUUUAUCAC